rnacentral:rRNA from 1 species
UACGUAGGUGGCAAGCGUUGUCCGGAAUUAUUGGGCGUAAAGCGCGCGCAGGCGGGAAUACAAGUCUAUCUUAAAAGUGCGGAGCUCAACUCCGUGAGGGGGUAGAAACUGUAUUUCUUGAGUGCAGGAGAGGAAAGUGGAAUUCCCAGUGUAGCGGUGAAAUGCGUAGAGAUUGGGAGGAACACCAGUGGCGAAGGCGACUUUCUGGACUGUGUCUGACGCUGAGGCGCGAAAGCCAGGGGAGUGAACGGG